UCAGUGUAAAUAAUGUUAUUGUUUGGUA
rnacentral:sRNA from 1 species